AGAGAAAGACGACUUUUUUAAUUUGGCAUGUUCUCGGUAAAAGCUUUGCUUUCGCUGUCAUUUUUUAAUAAUAAAGCAAUUAUACAAGUAGAGUCUCGUAGCUCAGCUGGUUAGAGCGCUACACUGAUAAUGUAGAGGUCGGCAGUUCGAGUCUGCCCGAGACUACUAUUUAGAAAUUAUAAUUGCUCCCAAGAGAAUAUAGAGGUUGGGGAAUUAGCUCAGCUGGCUAGAGCACUUGAUUUGCAUUCAAGAGGUCAUCGGUUCGACUCCGAUAUUCUCCACAAUUGUGUUUUUUACACAUAAAGUUCAUUGACAUUUUGAAAAUAUAUAUAAAGUAACAAUCAUUUUUAUAAUUAUAAAUAUGGUUGUACGAGCAAUUAAGUAAUAACAAAUUUUAUACAAUUUAAUUGAGAAAGAGUUAAAGUUAC
rnacentral:tRNA from 1 species